GGUGGGAAUGCAAACUGGUGCAACCACUGUGGAAAACAUUAAAAAUAGAACUACUCUAUGAUCCAGUAAUUGCACUACUGGGUAUUUACUCCUAAAAGACAAAAACGCUAAUUCA